rnacentral:rRNA from 1 species
GCCAAUAUAAGCCCAUUCACUAACUAAUACAACUAUAUUAAAUUUCUACCAAAACAUUCAAUUCAUCCUAGUAUAGGAGAUAGAACAGAUAAAAAGGCGCAUUAAUGAUAGUACCGCAAGGGAAACCUGAAAGAUAAGAUUAUAAGCACCACAAAGCAAAGAUUCAACCUUCUACCUUUUGCAUAAUGGUUUAGCUAGUCAACUCGGACAAAAAGAACUAUGCCCGUCCUCCCGAAAUCAAGUGAGCUACUACAAGACAGCAACUAGAGCCAACUCGUCUAUGUAGCAAAAUAGUGAGAAGAUCUUAUAGUAGAGGUGAAAAGCCUAUCGAACUUGAGGAUAGCUGGUUAUCCAAAACACGAAUAUAAGUUCAACUUUAAAUUUAACCAAAGUAAUCAUAAACAUAAUUUAAAUUUAAAAGCUAAUCUAAAGGGGGACAACUCUUUAGAUCCAGUAAACAAACUUCCAUAGAGGAUAAUGAACCAUAUACAACUCAUAGUUGGCUUAAANGCAGCCACCAAUUAAGAAAGCGUUAAAGCUCAAAUACACAAUAUCAUUUUAAUCCCUAAAAUAUAAUCAAAAUCCCUAUCUCUAAAUUGGAUAAUUCUAUAAAUAUAUAGAAGCUAUAAUGCUAAAAUUAGUAACAAGAAACAUUUCUCCCUGCACAAGCCUACAUUAGAAACGGAACAACCACUAACAAUUAACAAACUAAUAAACAUAACUAAACGACUAGAAAGCUAUUAACCAUAUUGUCAACCCAACACAGGAGUGCAACCAAGGGAAAGAUUAAAAGGAAUAAAAGGAACUCGGCAAGUACAUAUAACCCCGCCUGUUUACCAAAAACAUCACCUCUAGCAUAACAAAUAUUAGAGGCAACGCCUGCCCAGUGAGUUAAACUUUAACGGCCGCGGUAUACUGACCGUGCAAAGGUAGCAUAAUCACCUGUCCUCUAAAUAGGGACUUGUAUGAAUGGCAUCACGAGGGCCUAACUGUCUCCUAUUCCCAAUCAGUGAAAUUGACCUUCCCGUGCAGAGGCGGGAAUAAUACUACAAGACGAGAAGACCCUGUGGAGCUUAAGAUUAAUAACUUAACCCAAUCUUAAUACUACCCUAAUGGCAUAACAACACUAUAUACUAAGUUAUAAUCUUUGGUUGGGGUGACCUCGGAGAACAAAAUAACCUCCGAAUGACUAAACCCAGAUUAACAUACCUAAGUAUGACAACAUCAGUAAUUGACCCAUAUUUUGAUCAACGGAACAAGUUACCCCAGGGAUAACAGCGCAAUCCUAUUAAAGAGACCAUAUCGACAAUCAGGGUUUACGACCUCGAUGUUGGAUCAGGACAUCCAAAUGGUGCAGCCGCUAUUAAUGGUUCGUUUGUUCAACGAUUAAAGUCCUACGUGAUCUGAGUUCAGACCGGAGCAAUCCAGGUCGGUUUCUAUCUGUAUAUUCAUUACUCCCAGUACGAAAGGACAAGAGAAAUAAGGCUAAUAUUAACAGACAAGCCUCAGAGAUAAGGUAUGAAACCAUCUCAAUACCAUAACUCAAUAACUUUAUUCUCUAGAGACAGAGCUA